rnacentral:rRNA from 1 species
AUUGAACGCUGGUGGAAUGCUUUACACAUGCAAGUCGAACGGCAGCACGGACUUCGGUCUGGUGGCGAGUGGCGAACGGGUGAGUAAUGUAUCGGAACGUGCCCAGUCGUGGGGGAUAACGUAGUGAAAAUUACGCUAAUACCGCAUACGAUCUAUGGAUGAAAGCGGGGGAUCGCAAGACCUCGCGCGGCAGGAGCGGCCGAUGUCUGAUUAGCUAGUUGGUGGGGUAAAGGCCCACCAAGGCGACGAUCAGUAGCUGGUCUGAGAGGACGAUCAGCCACAGUGGGACUGAGACACGGCCCAGACUCCUACGGGAGGCAGCAGUGGGGAAUUUUGGACAAUGGGGGCAACCCUGAUCCAGCAAUGCCGCGUGUGUGAAGAAGGCCUUCGGGUUGUAAAGCACUUUUGUCCGGAAAGAAAUCGCGCUGGUUAAUACCUGGCGUGGAUGACGGUACCGGAAGAAUAAGCACCGGCUAACUACGUGCCAGCCGCCGCCGUAA